GCCGAGAGGAUACUGCAGAGGUCUCUUUGGUGUAUGUGUGAGGCUCUCCUCUCAGGGAGAAUGCAGCAGUUGUAAAUAGUUGGCAACCCUUUGCAACAAAAAAAUCGGGCCAAUUCCCACUAAGGGCACGCUAUCAUCCAGGCUCUAGGAGAUCCUGUCAUCCCUCACUGCAGAUGAGUGAUUUUCCUCUUUCUCAGCACAAGUGGACAUGAAGCUUUUUCAACAUCUUUUCUAAUAUGGAUUCCUUCACUCCUACCUGUUUGAGAUGAAGGAAAAUCUCCGUCUUGGUCUCAGCUGGAAGAGAAUACUGCUGCUCUGGAAAGAAAUGAUUUUAAUGCCAGCUUCUCUACUGCAUCUAUUUGCUGCAUUGGGUGCACUGCAGUAAAGCUGUACAGAGUAGAACUCGCCCAUCAUUCGCUCGGCAGUUUUGUAGUACAAAUGUAUACCCUUCCAUUCUUAUGAUUGCUAAUGAAGAAGAAUUAUAAAAAUUAGACAGAUUAAC